rfam:Schistosoma curassoni strain Dakar, Senegal genome assembly, scaffold: SCTD_scaffold0000175
CUGACGAGUCCCAAACAGGACGAAACGCGCGUCCUGGAU